rnacentral:rRNA from 1 species
UUAAUACGGCGAGUGAAGCGGCAAAAGCUCAAAUUUGAAAUCUGGUACCUUCGGUGCCCGAGUUGUAAUUUGGAGAGGGCAACUUUGGGGCCGUUCCUUGUCUAUGUUCCUUGGAACAGGACGUCAUAGAGGGUGAGAAUCCCGUGUGGCGAGGAGUGCGGUUCUUUGUAAAGUGCCUUCGAAGAGUCGAGUUGUUUGGGAAUGCAGCUCUAAGUGGGUGGUAAAUUCCAUCUAAAGCUAAAUAUUGGCGAGAGACCGAUAGCGAACAAGUACAGUGAUGGAAAGAUGAAAAGAACUUUGAAAAGAGAGUGAAAAAGUACGUGAAAUUGUUGAAAGGGAAGGGCAUUUGAUCAGACAUGGUGUUUUGUGCCCUCUGCUCCUUGUGGGUAGGGGAAUCUCGCAUUUCACUGGGCCAGCAUCAGUUUUGGUGGCAGGAUAAAUCCAUAGGAAUGUAGCUUGCCUCGGUAAGUAUUAUAGCCUGUGGGAAUACUGCCAGCUGGGACUGAGGACUGCGACGUAAGUCAAGGAUGCUGGCAUAAUGGUUAUAUGCCGC